AGGGAAUCUUCCGCAAUGGACGAAAGUCUGACGGAGCAACGCCGCGUGAGCGAAGAAGGUCUUCGGAUCGUAAAGCUCUGUUGUUAGGGAAGAACAAGUACCGUUCGAAUAGGGCGGUACCGUGACGGUACCUAACCAGAAAGCCACGGCUAACUACGUGCCAGCAGCCGCGGUAAUACGUAGGUGGCAAGCGUUGUCCGGAAUUAUUGGGCGUAAAGCGCGCGCAGGCGGCUUCUUAAGUAUGAUGUGAAAGCCCGCAGCUCAACUGCGGAGGGUCAUUGGAAACAGGGAAGCUUGAGUGCAGAAGAGGAGAGUGGAAUUCCACGUGUAGCGGUGAAAUGCGUAGAGAUGUGGAGGAACACCAGUGGCGAAGGCGGCUCUCUGGUCUGUAACUGACGCUGAGGCGCGAAAGCGUGGGGAGCAAAC
rnacentral:rRNA from 1 species